rnacentral:rRNA from 1 species
GGAAGGCAGCAGGCGCGCAAAUUACCCACUCCCAGCACGGGGAGGUAGUGACGAAAAAUAACAAUACGGGACUCUUUUGAGACCCCGUAAUUGGAAUGAGUACACUCUAAAUCCUUUAACGAGGAUCCAUUGGAGAGCAAGUCUGGUGCCAGCAGUCGCGGUAAUUCCAGCUCCAAUAGCGUAUAUUAAAGUUGUUGCGGUUAAAAAGCUCGUAGUUGGAUCUCAGCUCCGGCCGGACGGUCCGCCUACCGGUGGUUACUGUUCGCUGCCGAGCGUUCAGGGGGCUUCUGUCUAUGAUCUUCACCGGUUGUGGGCGGAGACCCUCACGUUUACUUUGAAAAAAUUAGAGUGCUCAAAGCAGGCGCGACGCCUGAAUAAUUGUGCAUGGAAUAAUGGAAUAGGACCUCGGUUCUAUUUUGUUGGUUUUCGGAACACGAGGUAAUGAUUAAGAGGGACAGACGGGGGCAUUCGUAUUGCGACGCUAGAGGUGAAAUUCUUGGACCGUCGCAAGACGAACUACUGCGAAAGCAUUUGCCAAGAAUGUUUCCAUUAAUCAAGAACGAAAGUUAGAGGUUCGAAGGCGAUCAGAUACCGCCCUAGUUCUAACCAUAAACGAUGCCAGCCAGCGAUCCGGCUGUGUUCCUCAAAUGACACGCCGGGCAGCUUCCGGGAAACCAAAGCUUUUGGGUUCC